rnacentral:tRNA from 1 species
UAUAUUAAAGUGUAUGAGGGCACAGUAAUUUUUGGAUUUACUAGAAAUAGUUCAAAUCUAUUUAAUAUAA